AAGGAUCAUUAAAGAGACGUGCCCUUCGGGGUAACCCUCCCACCCUUUGUUUAUCAUACCUUUGUUGCUUUGGCAGGCCCGUCCCUCGGGACCCCCGGCUCCGGCUGGGCUGCGCCUGCCAGAGGACCCUAAACUCUGUUUGUUAAUGUCGUCUGAGUACUAUACAAUAGUUAAAACUUUCAACAACGGAUCUCUUGGUUCUG
rnacentral:misc_RNA from 1 species